rnacentral:rRNA from 1 species
GACGAACCGAGCGAACGUUGUUCGGAAUCACUGGGCUUAAAGGGCGCGUAGGCGGGCUGCCGCGUCCGGGGUGAAAGCCCCCCGCUCAACGGGGGAACGGCCUCGGAUACGGGCGAUCUCGAGGGGGGUAGGGGCACCUGGAACUGUGGGUGGAGCGGUGAAAUGCGUUGAUAUCCACAGGAACUCCGGUGGCGAAGGCGGCAUCCUGGACCGACACUGACACUGAGGAGCGAAAGCCAGGGGAGCAAACGGG